GGAGAUUUAGCUCAGUGGUAGAGCGCUUGCCUAGCAAGCACAAGGCCCUGGGUUCGGUCCCCAGAUCUG
rnacentral:tRNA from 1 species